rnacentral:rRNA from 1 species
UACGGGGGAGGCAAGCGUUGUUCGGAUUUACUGGGCGUAAAGGGCGCGUAGGCGGCCACCGCAAGUCGGUUGUGAAAUCUCCGGGCUUAACCCGGAAAGGUCAAUCGAUACUGCGGGGCUAGAGUGCAGAAGGGGCAACUGGAAUUCUCGGUGUAGCGGUGAAAUGCGUAGAUAUCGAGAGGAACACCUGCGGCGAAGGCGGGUUGCUGGGCAUUAACUGACGCUGAGGAGCGAAAGCAUGGGGAGCGAACAGG